AGAGUUUGAUCCUGGCUCAGAUUGAACGCUGGCGGAAUGCUUUACACAUGCAAGUCGAACGGCAGCACGGGAGCUUGCUCCUGGUGGCGAGUGGCGAACGGGUGAGCAAUAUAUCGGAACGUACCCAGUCGUGGGGGAUAACUCUCCGAAAGGAGAGCUAAUACCGCAUACGUCCUGAGGGGGAAAGCGGGGGAUCGCAAGACCUCGCGCGAUUGGAGCGGCCGAUAUCGGAUUAGCUAGUUGGUGAGGUAAAGGCUCACCAAGGCGACGAUCCGUAGCGGGUCUGAGAGGACGGCCCGCCACACUGGAACUGAGACACGGUCCAGACUCCUACGGGAGGCAGCAGUGGGGAAUUUUGGACAAUGGGGGCAACCCUGAUCCAGCCAUUCCGCGUGAGUGAAGAAGGCCUUCGGGUUGUAAAGCUCUUUCAGCAGGAACGAAACGGUCGACUUUAAUAAAGUCGUCUAAUGACGGUACCUGCAGAAGAAGCACCGGCUAACUACGUGCCAGCAGCCGCGGUAAUACGUAGGGUGCGAGCGUUAAUCGGAAUUACUGGGCGUAAAGCGUGCGCAGGUGGCGACAUAAGACAGAUGUGAAAUCCCCGGGCUCAACCUGGGAACUGCGUUUGUGACUGUGUUGCUAGAGUGUAGCAGAGGGGGGUGGAAUUCCACGUGUAGCAGUGAAAUGCGUAGAGAUGUGGAGGAACACC
rnacentral:rRNA from 1 species